rnacentral:rRNA from 1 species
CUGACACAGGUGCUGCAUGGCUGUCGUCAGCUCGUGUCGUGAGAUGUUGGGUUAAGUCCCGUAACGAGCGCAACCCUUGUCCUUAGUUACCAGCACGUUAUGGUGGGCACUCUAAGGAGACUGCCGGUGACAAACCGGAGGAAGGUGGGGGAUGACGUCAAGUCAUCAUGGCCCUUACGGCCUGGGCUACACACGUGCUACAAUGGUCGGUACAAAGGGUUGCCAAGCUGCGAGGUGGAGCUAAUCCCAUAAAACCGAUCGUAGUCCGGAUCGCAGUCUGCAACUCGACUGCGUGAAGUCGGAAUCGCUAGUAAUCGUGAAUCAGAAUGUCACGGUGAAUACGUUCCCGGGCCUU